CAUGUGCGCGAGUGAGGGCGAGAGCGAGACAGAGGGCUGCUGUCUGCCUCCUCUCCGGUGCCUCCGUGUCGCUGCAGUGCUUCGCUGCCCUUCUUUCUUUCUUUCUUUCUUUUUUUCUUUCUUAAUUUCUCGCUUUCGUACCACGCGCCUGUUCUCUUCUUUCUUACCCGCGUCCUCAACAUAAUUUUCCUCCUUUUCUUGGAUGCUUAAGCCUCGCAGCAUCUCCAGCUACAGCAUCCUGACAAAUGGUCGUUCAGUCCGCAGCAACUCUGGACACAGGACGCAGCAAGAAGGCGCACCGCUCCGUUUUGAUCUGACCUGAGCCCACUGCGGAUUGACUUGAGAAAGGGGCGGAAGGAAGAGAAACAAGGAGAAGCCCGACAGUGGCCAGGAUCUCGUUUCGCAAUGCCGGUGCCAGACCAGCCAGCAGAGCAGGAGAAGGGGGCUAUGGUUCCCCCUGUGAUGCCAGCCUCCAAUGGAGACAGACCUGAGGCAGAGACAACGUCCUCCAUUCUUGCCUCUGUCAAAGAACAGGAGGUUCAGUUUGACCGUCUGAUUACAGAGGAAGCUUAG